UCCUGUACCCCCCAUUGACACGUGAAUCAGUGUUUCUCAGAAUACUGCAGGUUUGGAGUGUGUGUGGCAGAGGAGGGUGGAGCAGCGUGGAAGGAGGAGAGGUGGGCGGUGUCGGGGAUAUCAGCAGGGCAGUGGGCAUUGGAGGUGUGCUCUUGGCCUCAGCCACAGGGCCGUUCCAGAGCCCUGCGUGGGCGAGGCCAGGGCGGCGCGUGAUGGUGCCCUCAGAGAAGCACUGGGACCAGCAGGAAAGGCUGCCGGUGGGCAGGAAAAGGGAAGAGAGCCGGGGAAUUGCUUUUUGACCCGUAAGGGAGCGUUUCUUGGUGGAUGGGGAAAUCACAAAAUUGAGUAUGGUGUAGUCAGCUACAUCGUGUACCAAUUUUCAAAUACUGGUGAGAUCAGUAAAAAGAGAAAGGGAAGGAGAUCACAGAUAGCAUGAAACCAAGCCACCAAUAAUGAAAGUACCACUGGUUCCUGAGCAGCGUCUGCUUCUAACUGACUUUGCUGGGGGAGGGGCGAGACAGGUACAAGCAAAAACAGCAACGACAGCGCAGCAGUUGCUUCAUAUGGAUUGCUGAAGACAGAGUGUAUCUGUGGCUCCGCUCAGGCUGUACACAGACAGGGGCACUCAGCAUCCUUGGGUCGUAUUUCAUUCUAGGGCCAGGAGCGCGGGCUACUGCGUCAGUGGGAAAGACGUGGAGAUGAGUUCAUAUUUACCUGUUUCAUGGUGAAAUCUGCAAGGUCCCUAAGGCAAUGGCUUUCUUGAAUGGUGACGGCAACUGAGGAGUCUGAAAAAUCUUUGUGUCUCACUUAGGAUUUUUGCACAGCUGGUUUCAUAAUUCAGUUAUUUUGAUACAAAAGCGUUCUGCUCUGAUUAGUAAAAAGAGACAAGGCGAUAGUGUUUGCCUCUUCGUUAGGUGGCUGCCCCAUCCAUGCCUUUCAUUUCUGGAGUAGGUGCCCAGGAAAUGUUUACUGAGUUGCACCAGUGAAUGAACUCAUGAUGCCGGGAUUAGAAGGGGAAGCCCUUGGAGCCUCCUUCUGCCCCAGUUCUCAGCGACCCUCGUGUUCAGCUGGAGUGCAAUGGCGCGAUCUUGGCUCACUGCAACCUCUGCCUCCCAGGUUCAAGUGAUUCUCCUGCCUCAGCCUCCCAGGCUCCACUAGCAGUCAAGGAGAUGAACUGAAGAGCAGAAGAUCAGCAGAAUGGCUCAGCAGAGAGAAGAGAAGGGGCAUCUGAAUGUCAAGGGGUGUUCGACUGGGGAUAGUAAGAGAGGAGAUCAGCCGAUGAUGGCCAAAUUCCAGGGGAAGAUAAUCUUCCCACUCCAUCCUCCUUCCAGCUCCCCAUCCAUCCCAGUGAAAGCCGCCUCUACCACCCAAUAAAAUCCCUGCAUUCAUC